rnacentral:rRNA from 1 species
AGGAAUUGGCGGGGGAGCACCACAAGGGGUGAAGCUUGCGGUUUAAUUGGAGUCAACACCGGGAACCUUACCAGGGGCGACAGCUGGAUGAAGGUCAGAUUAAAGGUCUUACCGGACUAGCUGAGAGGGGUGCAUGGCCGUCGCCAGCUCGUGCCGUGAGGUGUCCUGCUAAGUCAGGUAACGAGCGAGAUCCCUGCCCUUAGUUGCUACAGUUACUCUCAGGAGUAGCUGGGCUAACUAGGGGGACCGCCACUGCUGAAGUGGAGGAAGGAGGGGGCCACGGCAGGUCAGUAUGCCCCGAAACCCUAGGGCUACACGCGGGCUGCAAUGGUAGUGACAACGGGUUCCGAACUUGAAAGAGAGAGGCAAUCCCUAAACGCUACCACAGUUAUGAUUGAGGGCUGCAACUCGCCCUCAUGAAUAUGGAAUCCCUAGUAACCGCGCGUCACAACCGCGCAGUGAAUACGUCCCUGCUCCUUGCACACACCGCCCGUC